rnacentral:rRNA from 1 species
GACGAACGCUGGCGGCGUGCUUAACACAUGCAAGUCGAACGAAGAGCGAUGGAAGCUUGCUUCUAUCAAUCUUAGUGGCGAACGGGUGAGUAACGCGUAAUCAACCUGCCCUUCAGAGGGGGACAACAGUUGGAAACGACUGCUAAUACCGCAUACGAUCUAAUCUCGGCAUCGAGGAUAGAUGAAAGGUGGCCUCUACAUGUAAGCUAUCACUGAAGGAGGGGAUUGCGUCUGAUUAGCUAGUUGGAGGGGUAACGGCCCACCAAGGCGAUGAUCAGUAGCCGGUCUGAGAGGAUGAACGGCCACAUUGGGACUGAGACACGGCCCAGACUCCUACGGGAGGCAGCAGUGGGGAAUCUUCCGCAAUGGACGAAAGUCUGACGGAGCAACGCCGCGUGAGUGAUGACGGCCUUCGGGUUGUAAAGCUCUGUUAAUCGGGACGAAAGGCCUUCUUGCGAAUAGUUAGAAG